rnacentral:rRNA from 1 species
UACGUAGGGGGCAAGCGUUGUCCGGAUUUAUUGGGCGUAAAGAGCGUGUAGGCGGCCAGGUAGGUCCGCUGUGAAAACUCGAGGCUCAACCUCCAGACGUCGACGGAAACCGUGUGGCUAGAGUCCGGAAGAGGAGAGUGGAAUUCCUGGUGUAGCGGUGAAAUGCGCAGAUAUCAGGAAGAACACCAAUGGCGAAGGCAGCUCUCUGGGACGGUACUGACGCUGAGACGCGAAAGCGUGGGGAGCGAACAGG